AACGCAAAUUGCACUUCUUGGUAUUCCGAGGAGUACACAUGCUUGAGGGUCAGUUAAAAAAAAAUCGUACAUCAUUGAUGUUGCGGAUCUGGGUAUUCCGAUUUUAUAAAUUGGUUACCUAAAAUUAAUAUGGUUAUGUAAUGUGAAGCGUACUAAUUAUAUAGUCGCUAAUCAUUUAUACUUAUUAAUUACAUUACAACUAUACGAAAGUAUUUAGUUGGUGUAUAAAUUAUGAGAAUGACCUCAAGUCAUGUGAGAGUACCCGCUGAACUUAA
rnacentral:misc_RNA from 1 species